GAAAAGAAAGGGAAGAGAGAAAGGGGGGAAGCUGAUCGGGGAAGAGGGAGAGAGAGAGAGUGAGACCCGAGAGAGAGAGAGAGAGAGAGAGAGAGAGAGAUGAACGGAAGAUAGAGGGAGAUCCAGGGGAGGCACUGCUGGGCCAGAGCCACCGCUGGGAGGGUCCUCGCCGCUGCCGCCAUAGCCACGUAGCCGCUGUCUGGUCGUCAUCGUUGUCGCGCUCACCAGAACCGAGGCAGAGAGUAGUGCUGAGAGAAAACCCAUUAACCCCAUCACCGCCGUUUGUCCUUGCUGCUGCCAGCUACGCCGUCGCGAAGGCGAGACGCGCAAGAGAAGAGGGGUCGAUUCUGUAACCGCCGUUGCGUCGUGCUCCAUGUCGUUGUCGCCGUUCGCACCGUCAGCCUUACGUAAAGCAACCAUGACCGUCGAGGGUCCAUCCACGUCGCUGCUGAAGCUUGAACGCUGCUGCAACUACCGCGUGCCAUCAUCUUCAGAUUUUCUGCCAUCGGAACGGAGCUCGGCCGUCCUCGCUGCAGGAAUUUGUCGCCGGAGGAUGGGAGGUGACGGUGGUGGAAGUUGCUGUUCUGCCCUGCUCACUGAACGGCGCCACAAAAUUGCGGCUACAGCCGCUAGAGGAUGCCCCUGCAGCUGCCAAACCCUAUUCCACUCCAAUUUGGGUUCCGGCUCUGGUUUGUCUAUGCCGGGUUUUGUUCUCCCGAAUCUCGAAGCCGCCAUCCUCUUGGUAAGCGUUUUUUAUUUUCAGAAUCUUUGAAAUUAGCAUUCUGGUAUAAGUUAGAGAUUCUGAGCUGCUGGUAUCGUAGGGUUGAGUUCCGAUGACUUCAUGUCAAAAUUAAGGUUAUUGCUGAACCAUCAGAGCUUCCGGCCGCUAUCAGAGUGGCUGUCCGGUCAAUUUGGAAGCUGCUUUUGUGUCGUUCUAUUCUGUUUAUCGUGAUACAGAAUUUCUGCGGUUGCUGCUGAUUAACAUGAGAAUAAGGAUUUAAUGGGUUUAAUUUUGCAACUUGCGACUAAUUGAGGAACCGGAUAAAGAAGCAUUAAGAGGAGUUAUACUGUGUUUGGUUUAUAUGUUGUUAUAUUAAUUAGAAUAUUUUCUUCCCUUGUUUUUGUUAUUACAAUUUUGUAAGAGGGAUAGGAGUU